rnacentral:misc_RNA from 1 species
UACUCUCACACUCUCUGAUCCUUUGGAUUUGGGGAGCGGUGGACUUGGGUGCUUGCUGCUUCCUUGUGGCUCACCUGAAAUGCAUCAGUGCAUCUCUUGAUUAGACAUAGUACGGCGUGAUAAGUGUCUUCGCCGGCACCUCAUAAGAGGGUGGCUGAUCAGGAGCUCUGUGCUUUCAAACUGUCUUUGGACAACCCCUGACA